UGAUCCUUGAGGUCCCUUCCAACCCGGGUCAUUCUGUGAUUUUGCAGCUGGGAGUGUGCUGCAUCAAGCAGAGCUACUGUGCUCUUUGUGCCUGUUGUGGUAUCCAUGGGAAUAAAUAAAUAGGAGGCAUUACUUCUAGAGCAGCCUACAUUGCAUAUUGAUCUCCUGUUAAGCUCAGAGCUCACUCUGAACAUGUUGUAAUUUCAUUUUGGAUUUGAAUUAUUUCUCCACCUGAAUUUCAAGUGCUUGAAUUUAUUCCACCUGUGUUGGUGCUGACACUUGUUUGUGCUGUGAAACCCAAUAUACUGAGCAGCAGGAAAACACACUGGUGCUGAUUGUAGCAAAGAAGCUGGAAAAGAGCACAGCUGUUAUUUGUGCUGCCUUAAGGAGCUGCGAAUCCCCAAACAAAGGUCCCAGUUCUAUGGUUUCACAAUGUGGAGAUAGCUGCAACACAAAGGCCUUUGCACACCACAUUCAGAUGCAGUUCAGAACCUCCUGCUCUCCUCACUGAAGAUGAAAUGUCAGCGUUGUCAGCCAGCAAGGAAAACUGGAGUCAGGGGAGGAAGGAGAAGGAAGCUCUGAGUGCUGCAGGAGGCUGCAGGGGCAGCCCUCACCCAUAGGUUCGUAAGAUACUUUCUUCUGGUGCUGAGCAUUCUAAUGAGGAAAUGGUGGUUUUGUAGCUCUUGUGCUGGUUCAUCACUGACUGCCUGCACAGAACUCGUUCAGAAAUGAUUCACCGUGUCCUUUGCACAGGGAGAUGCAUCUCUGUCCAUCAUACGUAGAACAGGAUCUGAACUCGUCCUUCCAGGUGUGACAUGGCAUGUGAUAGUCCACAGCAGAGCGCACAGUGCAAGUGUUGGGGCUGUGGGUUUUUUGGUUUGUUCUUUUCUUUUAUGAAAUUGUGCUUAAGAUACGACUGAUGGAAGACAGUUAGAGAUAAGAAACAACUAUUUGUUCUAGUUUUGGACUCAGAAGAGGUGAAGGAAUCCUGAUCCUUUUGAGAAGAGAACUUAACAGCUUUAUGACUGACAAAGUUUUACCUCACGUAUACCUGUAGUGUAAUAACUUUGUUGUCCCCAAAGAACUGGGCCCAGUGAGGAGCACACAGAACCCUGUCAAUGGACACUGAAAUGGUGGAUAACGAGUGGCUUGGAAAACUGCAGACCCACACAGGAGUGAUACUUUCUGGUUAAGGGCUCUAUUCCGACAUAAAGAAAUGCCUCAGCUUCAGUGUCAAUUAAUGCUACAGCUGGGCCACAGCUCUUCCAAGGCAGGUGCAUGAAUUUUAAACACGCGGACACAGCCAGGCCUAGAGAGCACUUCCAGGUGCAGCAAUCCAAGAUUUCCUAGUGGUAAUUAUUUCCCACCGACUCAGACGGAAGGACAGCGUGGAUGCCUGACAAACACUGAUAAGGAGAAUAUGCCAAGCCAACCAGAUGAGUCAGCACAGGCAACAUAAAGGACCGCAGUUAAAAGCUAGGGCUAGGACUUGGAGGAUGUGUAGGCAAACGGAAGGAGAGCCGGGGGAAGAAAAGCCGAAAUGGAUUCAUUCUCCGUCCUGGCUGGAGGAGGAGAGGAGCGGGGACGUGCGGGCUGCCUGCAGCUGCCUCUGUCCGGUGACAAGUGCUCGCAGCCCCGCGGCUCACUCGUGCUCAGGAGUCCGCGCGGACUUUCGCUCUAAGCUGCCAAUCAAACCUCUAACCGCCACCACCCUGCGCUGGCACCGACAUGAGCUGAGGGAUCGUGUUGUUCCAGAGCCGCAUCUGCAGCCCCCUCAACCACCUCAGCCCUGAGCAGAGGCUGAACACAUCUGAAUAUUUCUAUUCAACUCUUCAAACAGACGGAGAUACUCCAAAGCUGUGUGUGAGACCAGAUGACGUGAAACUUUUGGCCAUUCAACCCCUGUUCAGCUGUAGUCCAGAAGCAGGCAGCCCAUAGCGGCCUGGGGAUGCUGAUGGAAGAAGCCGAAAUGUUUUCAGCCAAACCGAUUUCUUGCCAUCAGCUUUGGAUGCUGUAGCUGGAAUCAGAGCAGCCCGAGUAGAGAAGCAAACAAUUAAAACAUUUACAUGUUUGCUUCUUGAUAGACAUCUCUACGAGGUUGGGUGUUUCUUUUUCUCCUGGUUUGUCGGCACAUCUUGAUCUUGCAUUAGCCUCAUUUAUUACAGGCAAGAUUCUACGGAGCCUGAGUGACUUCAGAAGGAGAAACUUAUUAGAAGAAAUCUUUGCCAAUAUCUGUAUAGUAAGUUCACCUCCCAUGUGUGCUUGUGCCCCAUACAGUGCUGGGCUGCAUGGGAGGAAUGGGCGCAUGCGGUUUGAUCUCAUUUCGCUUGCCAUGGAAAGGGACAGCUGCAGCAAGCUGCCUGCUUUCAGAAGUAUCAGCUGCCAGGCAGCCUGUAACACCUCAGCCAGAGGUGCAGGGACCUCUCCAUAAGUGCAAGCUGGCCUGAGGCCAUACCUACACGUGCAAGGUGCAGAUCCUUUGGGCUCAACACCUGUAGUGUGGCAUCCAUAAAGCAGCAGCAAAGCAGUUACCACUGCGUGCGAAGAGCCUGCUGUGAUUAACCCAUCAGGGCUUAUGCUUGUCUGAGGACAGCUGAAGCUGUUAAGAUGUUUGCCUUGCAGUACCCAGAAAGCUGGAUACCUCUUGGAGUGGUUCUGAAUGGUUGCACACAAAUUGGGGAUACUGGUGUCCUGCCAGACCCAGCAGCAAUAACACAGCAAGAGCCCUCAGGGAAGCAAGGAAGUUGUUCAGCACUUCCUCAGCAAGAGCAAACCUGAAAGCUAUUGAGGGGCAGGCUGGGAAACCAAGCAUGGCUCAAGACCUCUCAUCACUGACACUCCCAUGCUUCUGUCUCGGGCUGCUGGAGAGUGGCGUGUCCUUCAUGACUCACCAUACUCUCACAGUUGUAGCUCAUCUUCUGGUGCCUGGCUGAGCACAGAGGGCCAGUUAUGCUGCAGGACCUCAGUGUAAGAUGUCAUCACAACAAACAAUUGGAAAGGCCAAGGGAGGCUGAAAUCUGUGGCUGUGAAGAUGGGGGUGGCUGUUUCACUAUGAGAUGAGGAGGAAAUAUUUCUCCUACACCUACCGCAGCCAGACUGCAGUUGUUGAGUUGAGUGACAAGGAAAUGGGAGCCUGGGAUGUCUCAGCACAAGCUUCCCUAAGCCUUGACUUGAUGGGUGAGCACCUGAACACAGCCAGAGCCUGUUACAUUAAAGGCUUUAUAAAAGCAACAGUGCCAGGCUAACAUCCACCUCCCACGUUACCGGCAGCCCCGGCAGGUGUAACGCGAUCCGGCAGCCGCAGCUAGCAGAUAAACAAACGGCCUUUCUGCACAGGUUGCACCUCUCCCAGCGGGGAAUUGGGUUGGAUGUUGUGCUAGGUCAGUGAGCUGCUAUGGAGAGAGCUGUGACAACGGACAAUCUCGUGUGGCUAUUGUCCUUUUACCGCAUAGGAUUUUCUCUCAACAUCUAAGGCAAGGCAGCAUAAAAACUGUUGGGGAAAGUUGGCCUCCUGCUGGAUUUCCUUUGGCCAGAGAAAAAACCUUCACUUCAGUGCUGCCAGGCCAGCCAGCAGCUGAGGUAAUAACGAUGCAUUCCCAGUAGAAUGGCCUGCACUUUUUGUGCCACAUUGGGCCUGGUGGUGUGUGGGCACACUGCUCCUCAUCACACCAAAAUGGCGUCCGCCUGGUACUGCCCCACAGCAUGUGGGCACACCCUACCACACCAAAAUGGUGUCCAUCCUGCACUAUUCUGCAUCUUAAGGGCACUCCACAACAGAAUUGUGGCUGUCCAGCACUGUCCUGUAUUGUGUGGAACUCAACACCAAAAUGGCGUCCAUCCUGUGCUGUCCCUCAGUGUGUGGCACUCCACACCAAAAUGGCGUCCAUCCUGUGCUGUUCCUCAGUGUGUGGCACUCCACACCAAAAUAGUGUCUGUCCUGCACUGCCUUGCAACUUGUGAGUACACCACAGCAAAACUGUGGGUGUAUGGCAGUGCUUCUGCAGUGUAUGGGCGCACCACACUUAAAUGGUGGCUGUCCAGCAUUGCACCAAAGCAUUUGGCACACCACAUUAAAAUGGCGGCCAUCCAGUGAUGCUCCCCUGUCCCUUCACCCCAUGGGAUCCCAUUCUGUCCCCAAAGCUUCCCCCUUCCCUGCCCUUGCUGCAGUUCCUCAUGAGUUAUGAUAACAUAUAAGCAGCUUAGAGAAUUCUUAUCGGAAUGAGUUGAACACAAUGCGACGUUUAACUCUUAAUGACAGCCACCUCUGACUGAGUGACACAUUAUAAAUUAUGUUUGAACUGGGUUGCUUUUUUCAGAGGCAGAUAUCCCCCUGCCACCCAGCCAGCCCUGCGAAGUUGCACUUGUGGCCUUAAUCCCACUUGGAUGUGUGCCCCACUGCCUCCACUCUCCGUCACUCGGGUGCUUUAGUGUUCUUGAACAAGUGAACAAUCUUUGUUUCUGUACCUUAUUAGGCCAGAGACCAUAGCAGCAAGCGAUGGCAUCAGCAGGCCCCGCAGGCAGGAUUCUCUGCAGACACAGCCAACCUCCAACAAACCCCUUUUUAUCCUCCUGUUUCUAGGAAGAAUUAUGAUGGUGGUGCCCUGCUGUUGAUCAGUGAAAUCUGUGGUGGGCCUAGAGAUAAGUCCUGUAAGUGUGGUGUACUGUAAAACAGCGGCUCCCAUUCAUUAGUGGCUUGUGUGUAAUAAACCACCCAACGGAGGGGGUUGGGGAAGAGAGGGAAAGAGCAGCUGCAGUGUGCAGGAACAAACAACACAACUCAUUCUUGGGAGCCAAAACUUUCUAAUUUGCUGCUGGGCUGCUGGGAGCACUCAAAUUCUUUCUGAUAAUGUGCUCGUGCCCUCGGUGUCUCUCCCUGCGUUUCUGCUCUCCAGAAUCUGGAAUAGUUUCACUCCGAACAACAAACGUGGAUGCUGCUGAACCGGGAGGAGGAGGGGAACUCAGCCACCCAGUGUUUGCAGACUCCAGCGCAGCAAAGUGGUGGACUCGAGGCAAGUUCUGCCAUGGAAUGGCUGCUGAGCGGCUCUGGUGGCGAAGGGGCAGCGUGAGGCACUUCCCGCAGUGUCCAUCCAGCACCUGAGGCCUCAGGCAGCAGCGCGUCUGUAUUCUGUGCCAUACCCACAGCCCUGGAACCAUGCAAGGAGAACAAAGUUUGUUCUAAAUGUGAAUUUAAUGUGCUUUCAGAUUUGACAGCCUCUUUUAAAAGGAAAUGUUUAAGUUGAACGAAAGGCACAUUUGCCUCUCCAAAUAAAUGGAAUUAUGGUUCAAAGAUCUGACUUAAUCCUGAGGCUCUUGCACUGUGCAGUAAGUAGGAAAGAAAGGGGAUUGCUCCGAGGAGCAGGGGUUAGCAGGAUCAGGGGCUGUUUUAUAUCAUCUCAUUUUCCUUCUGGUAUUUAAUAUACUUUCUUCUCAACUUGUGCUGGCUGGUUGUAAAAAGACCCGGUAGUGUCAUACAUUAACUAAUGGCAAAUAAACUACUAAUUGAAACUAAUGAAGGAUGGUACAGGGAGUUCCCAUCCAGCUUCCCUGCUAGGAAAAUUUGAUUACUGUUAAGCAAACAAAAAUGCCAUUCUUCCAGAUGUAUUCUCUCAUAUGGUUUUGUCCUUUUUCAGUUCAUUUCAGGACUUCUCUCAAAUGAAUUUUACUUUCUAUAACUAUUUGCUCUUUUUCUACUUAAAAAGAAGUGUAUACAGCUGUGUUUUAAAAUCAACACUGACAUAUCAGUGAUUUGAAGGAAGAUGUUUACACAGUAACAGUGCCACCUAUAUUCAUUGUAUCUCUCCAGACAGAAGUUCUGACCAGAUAAAAUUAAAAUAUGUAUGUGAUGUUUUUUGUGUGUUUUAAUGACAUCUGUAUGUUUCUAGUUAUGAUUUUGGUGCCUGCCCCCACGUUACUUGGCUGGUUAAGGAAAGUGGGAUCAAUAUUCUUACUUCUCCAACGUGUCAGUUUGUUCAUUAACCUCAGUGCAGCUGGCUGAAAUCAAUGUUUUGUCUUUGAGGUAUUUCUUUUUCUGCCAAAGCCCCGAGGUACCACGUAUUCCAGGCAGUAGCUGCAUCUACGGGACAUGGUAACAUGGAGAGGAGCCUGGGCAGGAGGAGCACUGUGCUUAAAGGGAGCCUUCAAGAGGAGUCUCCAGCAAAGAUUAAAAUGAAGAAUGAAUGAUUUUUUUUGUGGCAAAGUUUCCUUCAUAGACUGCAAAAAUCUGUGUACAGAGGUUUGGAUAAAGAGAGUUUUACAAGCUUGAUUUUGGGCUAAAACCCUCUUGUGUGGAAAAAAACCCAACGAACACACCCUAAAGAAAUCGUCAGAGAUGAGACAGUCCUGCUGGUGCAGUCUACCUGGCAGCACUGCAUGCACUGCUGUGGUGUGGCCCUGGGAGGGAGUUUUGACCAUGGCCUUCCUUCUGCUGAGGUGGAGCUUUGUGUCCUGGGCGCUCCGGGGCUGCUGCUCGCUGCUGGUGUGGGCUGCUGGGUUAUAGUGCAGUGUAACUGCAUGACCCGCUGCUAUACACACCGCUGGGAAAUCAGCUUUUGUGACAGGGAACAGACCUCAAUUUCCUACAAUAAACCUAUUAUUAAAAUA